rnacentral:lncRNA from 1 species
ACUUCUCUAUCCCAGCUCGUCCCCCUGGCAAAUUCUUUCUCAUCCUUCAACUCUCAGACACCUCCCCCACCCUCUCUAUAGCUUUCCCCAUCUCAGACUCUUAUGCUCUACUGCACUUCCUGUGUAAUGGUUUUCUCCUAAUGUAAUUGCUUGUUUGUGUAUCUUUAUCGUGUGAAUAAAUUAAAUGAGGGUAAGAAAUCUGUCUAUCUCCAGUGGCCAAAAAAGAGUCUGGCACACUGAAGGCACUCAACGAUAAGGGACAGUCACACACCACUCGUGUGUUCACAGUGAUGCUGGUAUAAACAAACCUACCGUGCUGCCAGUCAUAUAAAAGAGAAUAAACAG